rnacentral:rRNA from 1 species
UACGUAGGGUGCGAGCGUUAAUCGGAAUUACUGGGCGUAAAGCGUGCGUAGGCGGUGAUGUAAGACAGCUGUGAAAUCCCCGGGCUCAACCUGGGAACUGCAUUUGUGACUGCAUCGCUGGAGUGCGGCAGAGGGGGAUGGAAUUCCGCGUGUAGCAGUGAAAUGCGUAGAUAUGCGGAGGAACACCGAUGGCGAAGGCAAUCCCCUGGGCCUGCACUGACGCUCAUGCACGAAAGCGUGGGGAGCAAACAGG